UAGAGGUGACUAGACUUCGGAGAGUUUUAGAGAGUGGAUUUGACUUUUUGAGGAAAGAGAUCAAAGAUUUGAUCCUACCCGUGCCUGUGGAUUUGAUCCUAUAUCUCCUCAUCAUAUCUCUGACUCUUCAGAUUCUGAUCCCUCUAGCCAUGAUAUCUAUUAGAUCUAGAAUAGUUAAUCUUUUUUUUAAGAUCUAUCUUAUGACCUUUGUAUUUUGUUGGCUGAUUGACUCUUGGAUAGU
rnacentral:lncRNA from 1 species